UACAGAGGGUGCAAGCGUUGUUCGGAAUUAUUGGGCGUAAAGGGCGUGCAGGCGGUUUGUUAAGUCUAGGGUGAAAGCUCCCGGCUCAACUGGGAGAGGUCCUUGGAUACUGGCAAACUUGAGGGAGGCAGAGGAGAGUGGAAUUCCCGGUGUAGUGGUGAUAUGCGUAGAUAUCGGGAGGAACACCAGUGGCGAAGGCGGCUCUCUGGGCCUUUCCUGACGCUGAGACGCGAAAGCGUGGGGAGCGAACCGG
rnacentral:rRNA from 1 species